GGGGCAUUAGCUCAGUUGGUAGAGCGCUUCGUUCGCAAUGAAGAGGUCAGGAGUUCGAAUCUCCUAUGCUCCACCA
rnacentral:tRNA from 3 species